GUUCAAUAACGUCGCAUUGAACUAAGGAAUCGACAGAAGAAGCAUCAUAUGCAAGCUGUCAAAGGUGAGCAGGCUGAAGUGAGAAAGGACUUGGUCUUUGAGUUGAUCUCCACGUCAAUGCCAGGGCUUAUGUGUGUUUGCUUGUUCUGCUUUGAUCAACUGAACUGAACUGAACUGGAUGCAACUGCCCUUGCAAACUUCUACCUCAGAGGACUCGCAUGGCUGCGGUAGUUUUGACCCCAAGAUGCAGAAGACAGGAAGAUGAUGUGCAGGCAGCAACACAAACCAGUUCUUGGCACCGUACCGCCAGAAGACAUCCUUGUUGUGGAAUUCCCCCAUCUUUCCAAGUGUUUACUUAAGGUCUACAAUCGCUGAGACUCGUGACAACUUUCAGUGAUAUUUGUUGACAAGUUCGUCACUUGGUUGAGACGUGAAUACUUGAGGUGCCUCCUCACCCAGACUCUGCCUCCAGCGGCCCCCAGCAGUCCAGCAUUAACUGAUGCAGAUGUGGAGGACAGCUCACCGGCGCAGGCAGCCUGAAUCCGUCCUCGAUGGCCUUGAUCACCUACAACACGGACCGCGAGAACCACAUUCUAUUAGGUGGGAUGAAACUCCUUUACCGAUCGAUCCGCUUCUUUGGGGAAAUGUGUUUGGUAAAUUGACCAAGACGUCACCGCGGAGAGCUAGCUUACGCAGCUAAUGGGUCCAUGACGAUGACUUCUGUUUUGUUUGAUCAGCCGUGUUGCAGACACCGCUUGGAAACAAUUAAGUUUGGUAAAUUCACCAAAGACGUCACUGUGGAGUUAUUGGAGAGCGAGCUUACGGGUCCAUGACGAUGACUUCUGUUUUGUUUGAUCAGCCGUUUUACUGCCGUGACACAGACACCGUUUGGAAACAACUAAGGCCACUUACAUCCUGGUUGCCCAUAUCCCAGUAGGGCCUCUCCCCGUAGGACAUGACCUCCCACAUGACGAUACCAAAGCUCCAGACAUCUGAAGCCGAGGAGAAGCGGUGAUACUGGAUGGCCUCUGGAGCGGUCCACAGCACCACGCUCUUCCCUCCGUGCUAGAGAGGACACCAUAGUAGUAAGAAGAAUCGGCCUGCUGACUGCCAAGGCCGAACAUCGACUACCGUGACGCAGACAGAGCAGAGACAAGGCGAUAUCACGACUGUCAGCACAUUUGCAUUUUUGUAUAAUCAUAUAUUGUGUCUAACUGGAGCCGUCGAGAUUACCCCCUUCCCUCAGUGAUGUAAACAGGGACCUCCCAAAUAAAUGGAGGAAGCACGUGGGCUGGACUUUUAGA